CAUGCAGACGAUACGAUUGUCCCCAAACAUGGUCCCGAGUCCAUUUGUCAUCAUUUGCCACGUAAUGACGACCAUUGUUGAAGCUGGCCAGGAAUUCUAAGCUGUCAUCAAUCCUGCAGCUGUAGUGUGCCUAUGCAUGUUUUGUAAAUGCUGAAUCCAAGAACUUUGAGUAUUCAUUUCACUUCAUUGACUUUCUUUCCCGAUUUUAAUAAUGGUUUUUGUUGGAUUUUUCUAGAUGAUCAAUUGCAAGUACUUACCUGAGCAGCUGAGCUCUCUUCCUUUCAGUGGUUCCUUUCAAUUGAUUCAUUUGAGUUAAAUCCCUCGCUGCUGUUCCAGACCUUAUUCACUAGUGCAAUAUGCAGCUGAGAGAUGUAAAGAGGAGCUUGCUUUCAAUCAACAACAAUAAAAAAUUGUGUAGACGUAGAUAAAUUACGAGUGCAUAUCUGGGCUCCCUUCUUUUCUGUGGCCCCGUUUCCCUGACUAACCACUAAUCAACGCCCGCCGGUGGUCACUCACCCGCUGUGAAACCAGGAGGAUGAGGAGGGCUCUGGUCGAACGGGGACUUGGAAGGCGCAUGAUCCGAGGAAGACUUUUGGAGGUUCAUGAGUCUAACCUGGAAGCCUAGUAAGACUAAUCUCUCCCUAGUAAAACUGGCCUCGCACUCUUCUCUCUUCUUCCUUGGGCAGAGUCCAUUAAGACAAGAGUCUCCUCCUGUGUUGAUUGAUUGUACGAAUAGUAGCAAGUUAGUCGGUCAAAAAGUGCUGGUUUAAUUGGCUUGCUAAAUUUCGCAUAGAGAAAAGAAUGUUUUAAACCGUACUCUCUGUUUAUUAAAUAUAUACGUCGUACAAAAAA
rnacentral:lncRNA from 1 species